rnacentral:misc_RNA from 1 species
CCGAGUUUACAACUCCCAAACCCCAAUGUGAACGUUACCAAACUGUUGCCUCGGCGGGAUUUCUGCCCCGGGCGCGUCGCAGCCCCGGACCAAGGCGCCCGCCGGAGGACCAAACCUUACAAACUCUUUUUGUAUGUCCCUCUGCGGACUCUUUACAUUUCUGAGCUUUCUCGGCGCUCCUAGCGAGCGUUUCGAAAAUGAAUCA